rnacentral:tRNA from 2 species
GCGCCCUUAGCUCAGUUGGAUAGAGCAACGGCCUUCUAAGCCGUGGGUCGCAGGUUCGAAUCCUGCGGGGCGCGCCA